AACGCUGAAUGCCAUUUCAAAUCCUCAAUUUUAGGGGCAUUGGGACCCAAAGAUGGACUAUUGAACAACACUGCGUUUUCCAUUGCAGAGAAUGAAGAAGGCACACCUAAAGAUGCUGAACUGUCUGAAGAGGUGUUAACAGUAGAGCUAUGGAAGGACACCCCUCUCCGUCACACACAUCCCUGCAUAGUUGAUCAGAGUUCAGCUUAAACUACUACGGUUCCUCCUCAGAACAGACAGAACAGUUUCUGUUGGUUAUGUAACAGCUGCCAAGAGAAAGGGGACAGAUAUGCAAGCAGAUGAUGCAUCAUCCUGCCACAUUUUCCAUCUAAAUGAAGACCUUUGAUACUGCCUUGCUAAGAGGUACCAUAUAUACAUAUGCUCAUCAUUGCAGCAACACACACUAGGCUGGACAAUGUUUUAGACAGACUCUUUUCUCCCAGAAUCUGCUUCCCUGAACACGGGCACUCCAGCAGAUCAGCACCUACCUCUGGAAUCCAUAGAGCGCAGCUGACAUGAACCCACUUGGUGCCACUGCGGGUUGGCUUCAUGGCACCACCCUUCUUGGGACACAGCAAGCACUUGGGCUGAACACCAAGAGCACAGGUCCUGCACAGCCAGCUGCCUUCUGGCACCUUCAGGAUACCAUAACAGGCCUGUACUCAGUUACAGGAAAGAAAAAGAAGACAGAGGAUACAGCAUGCGUGUGUGCUACUUCUUAGUUGUCUACAUGUUGUCUUUCAAAACUCUUAAGAUAUUGUUUGUGGGAUUGAUAACACUUUAGAAACACCAGUUAGUAAAGAAUCUCGGGACACCUUCAUGCACUUAGCCAAACACAUGACCCAUUCACUCCUCUAACAGACCUUUCACUGACAAAAGCCAUGACCAGCUCUACAGAAGAACAUUGCCCACUCUUCAACCAGGAAUUUGUUCACCCCACUGAAGAGUGAGGCAAAUGCCAACAGACAGCUCUGCAAGCAGUGAGAGAGGAUGAAGUUCAGUAUCACAAAGACUACACGAACCAGAAAAUGGUCUGUAUCUAUUUCACAGGACAACAACUACCAAUUCAAGAGCACCGCUGCAUGAUACCCAAUGUAUUCUUAUUGAGAAGAAGUACAAAAUAAGCAAAGAUCACUUUUCCUUCUUUUCCUCCAAAAGACUGUCUUUAUGGAGACCUCCAUCUGAAACUCUCAAUUUUAACCUUCGAUUUUUAGAUUUGAUGUGAUCAGAGACUAAAAUGAAACUGUUACGCAGGUCUAAAAACAUCAAGGUUACUCUCAAGAGCACUCUGUAAAAUACCCUACAACUUGUAGGUAAGAUACGUACCUUGCAGUUUUCUUAGAGGUAUUUCUUUACUGUUUGUACAAAUACAUCUAAGUAACAUGUGCAAGUAAAUGCCACUCUUGCCUAUGAGGCAACACAGCUUUCCAAAUGCUGAGUAACAAAGCAAAUUCCUUUGAGUCUGAAGGAAGGACAAGCUGCAAAAAGGCAUCUCCCAUAGUAAGAAGCAGCCAAGAAAACACAUAUGCCAGAACUGUAUCUGAUGUUCCAUGCUAAAAGGCUUCUAACCUGCCACAAUUUUUCAUUUCUGUCAUUUCUGAUUUCAUCCCAUUGCUCAAAAGAGAACUCUGCACCAGUUCAGAAGAUCAGUGUCUGUCACUGGAAAAAUCCAGCCUACCACUUUUCGCGCUUUGGCUACCUGCUACCACCCCUACGCUCCCCUACAGUUCCCCAGCUGCCAUACCUGGUGCACACAAAUAUUGCAUUUGUCACAAAACACCAUAUCGUUUCCAUCUUCACUGUCAGGAGACCGGCACACAUCACAGACAACAUCUUCAUCAUAUUCAAUCCCAAGUCCUUCUUCUGUCUCAAUAGCAUGAUUCAUGUUAUCAUAGCAUCGUUGUUCAAACUCUUCUAUGACCCUCUCCAUUGUGUACUCAUCCAGCUCAGGCAUCCCUGGGAAACAGAAUUGGUUAUUUAAAGAGAACAACAAACCACAAUGAAUAACUACGCACAACUCCAGCUUCUGAGCAACAGCUGAGUAGAUACAGUCCAGCUCCCUCCACCCCAAACACAUACAUGUAAUUCAUCUGUAGACAAUCUUGCCCAUCCCAGCAUAAGCAGUUUCCCAACAGAAAAAAAGCAAGUCAGGAAGUCAUCUAACUAUAUUAAAUUAACAGGAUCACCGUAUUCAAAUCAAUUUCUAAAUAUCCUCAAAGUCCGGCUUCCCAGACUUAUUCUGUUUUUAACUUCUUGGACUGCAUUAGCUAUGGCUUUUAUUGCCUUCUUGUGACAUACACAUUCAGUCUCUGGUAAAAGCUCAUAGCUGCAGGGACACCAGAAAGCGAGUGCUACAAUUGCACAUCAGGAAGUAGAUCACUUUUUAAUGCCCAGGCACGAUGUGUUCAUGUGAAGAGCUAUCUGCUGCAGCACCUCACACUGCAGGCAGGGUGUUUCUGACAGCUUCCCUCUUGGUCCCACCUGUAGGGAAAAUAUCUGUGGUGUACUAUGGGCUUAACGUAUGGUGCAAAGCUGCAUGGCAGAGAGGCCCCUGAGUGCACUUUAUCACAACUGCUGUCACACUCAGUUUAACACUCUGGUAGAUCUCCUUUGGUUUUGGUAAGAAUAAGGUACAUUAUCUAUAUUGGAUGGAUGGGUAUCAAUUGCAAAUCACACAACGUAAUUUCAAAUGUUCUUUAUAAAAAGCUAAAGAGACUUGCUGCUGCUGCUUUCCUGAUGGUACCUGGAAAAGCAACCUACGCUCUUAAAUCAACUUUUUAACUUUGAUUUUUUAAUUUUCCAAGUUCAAUGCCAAAUCUGAAGAGAGAUCCAGAAAAAAAAAAAGGCUUGGCUCAGAGAUCAGGUCAAGUCUGGCUCAUCUGUUUCUUCCAUACGUGGGUUUAAAAAGAAGAGACUUUCAAAAAGUUAUAAAUGGUCAGUUUUGUGGUUUGCCAGGUCUUGAGCUAUGCCACACAUGGGCUCAAGACAUGUUAUCUCCUGAGACUAGACUAAGCAGGGAACUGCCACAAUGCAAAGACAAAUCAGCAGUGUUUACCAGCACAUCCAAACCACUUCCACCUAGCACAAGACUUUUUCCCUAUGUAAAAAAUACUGUAAAAGCCCUGCGCUGACUUGGAGACUCUCCAAUUCUACUGAAAUCCAUUUCAGAAGCACGCAUCUUUCAUAUAAGUAAUCUUGUUCCUUCCCUGAACCUUCAUCCACACAACCUAUUCCACAGAAAGGCAAUGUUUGCUCUCUCCGUUGACAGUUGCUCCUCAUGACUCAGAACUGGAACACACAAAGAAAGUUUUGGGAGGUACCUCAAAAAAAAUCACUGCAAAAAUUCCUUAUUGUUUCAUUUCCUGUGUGAUCAACUGGCCUAAGUUUGCUGCACCUCCUAAGACUCCCUGUUCUUUGCACUGAACGUCACAAGCUGAAAAGGAGGCUAGGGAUAUGUUUGCAGAAAAAAAUACACAAUUAAUGCUGCAUGGAUUGCUAACCUUGGUGGCGACAUAUAAACUUUGUGAAAAUUCCCUUGUAAAAUAGGAAGUACCAUGUGGCCAGAUUCUGAUCUUGUUUAAGGAGAUACAACUCAGUGGUUAUGAAGACACAUGUAUUAGGGCUUAAUUACAUCAGGACUGCAGCUACCCGAAGGUGAUUACCUGCUCUUCAGACCCCGUAUCACCUCUUUCCACCACUGACUCCCCCCUUAAAAUUCUUCUCAAGUUUGCCAACUUUGAGACAAAAUGAAAACAAAAACAAAAAUAAAACCUGCACAAAUGC